CCUACGGGUGGCAGCAGUGAGGAAUAUUGGUCAAUGGGCGGGAGCCUGAACCAGCCAAGCCGCGUGAGGGAAGAAGGUACAGCGUAUCGUAAACCUCUUUUGUCAGGGAACAAAGGCGGGGACUAGUCCCCGGAUGAGGGUACCUGAAGAAAAAGCAUCGGCUAACUCGGUGCCAGGAGCCGCGGUAAUACGGGGGAUGCGAGCGUUAUCCGGAUUUAUUGGGGUAAAAGGGUGCGCAGGCGGCCUGUUAAGUCAGCGGUAAAAGCCCGGGGCUCAACCCCGGCGAGCCGUUGAAACUGGCGGGCUGGAGUUGGAGAGAGGUACGCGGAAUGCGCGGUGUAGCGGUGAAAUGCGUAGAUAUCGCGCAGAACCCCGGUGGCGAAGGCAGCGUGCCGGCUCCACACUGACGCUGAGGCGCGAAAGCGUGGGUAGCGAACAGGAUUAGAUACCCGGGUAGUC
rnacentral:rRNA from 1 species